rnacentral:rRNA from 1 species
AUUGAACGCUGGCGGCAGGCCUAACACAUGCAAGUCGAGCGGAGCGGCGGACGGGUGAGGAAGGCUUAGGAAUGUGCCUGUGAGUGGGGGAUAAGGACCGGUAAUGGGCGCUAUAACUGCAAACUAUCAGCUUCGCCUAGGUCGGUUUAGCUAGUUGGUGGGGUAAAGGCCUACCAAGGCGACGAUCCGUAUCUGGUCUGAGAGGAUGAUCAUGCACACUGGAACUGAGACACGGUCCAGACUCCUACGGGAGGCAGCAGUGGGGAAUAUUGGACAAUGGGCGAAAGCCUGAUCCAGCCAUGCCGCGUGUGUGAAGAAGGUCUUCGGAUUGUAAAGCACUUUAAGUUGGGAGGCGUUACCCGCAGAAGAAGCACCGGCUAACUUCGUGCCAGCAGCCGCGGUAAUUC